rnacentral:lncRNA from 1 species
GGAUGAAGCAGGACUUUGAAAGCAAUUUGUUUGCUGAGCAAAAUCUACCCUUCUCACAGCCCCCAACUUCCUCCUGCCUCCUGGAUAUUUUAUUGGUUUAUUUGAGAGAGAGCGUGUGAGCGAGAAGCACAAGGAGGAGGGGAGGCAGAGGAGAAGCAGGCUCUCCGCGGAGCAGGGAGCCCGAUGCGGGGCUCGAUCCCAGGACCUGGGAUCACGACCUGAGCUGAAGGCAGACACUUCACCAACUAAACCAUCCAGGUGCCUAGUUUGUUUUUGUUUUUGUUUUUGA